ACCCUCACCAAUAAUUGCUACUGCGUCGUCCGCGGCGUAGGCACAUUAUUGGGACCGCUGGCGCUAAGUCAGAGGAAGGAGAGGUCAACGGUAGGUCAGUAUGCCCCGAAUCUGCUGGGCUACACGCGCGUUACAAAGGGCGGGACAAUGGGCUCCGACGCCGAAAGGCGAAGGCAAUCUCGAAACCCGUCCGUAGUUCGGAUUGAGGGUUGUAACUCACCCUCAUGAAGCUGGAUUCCGUAGUAAUCGCGAAUCAACAACUCGCGGUGAAUAUGCCCCUGCUCCUUGCACACACCGCCCGUCAAACCACCCGAGUUGGGUUUCAGUGAGGUUAUCUCUACCUGGGGUAUUCGAACUGAGAUUUAGCAAGGAGGGUUAAGUCGUAACAAGGUAGCCGUAAUCGAAU
rnacentral:rRNA from 1 species